CCGGAUUGGUCCUUCGGGAAACGCUGCGGGGCGCCUCGGUUCCCGCGGCAGAGCCCGGGCCGGCGCUGGCGGGCUGGAUUUGCCGGGGCCGCUGUCGGUCAGGUCGGCGCCCCUGACAGCUGCAGGAGCCUCCCAAGCGCGGCCGCGGCGCCCGGACACCCACGCCCGCCUGCGCCGCUGCAGCGCCCACCACCCCGAGCGCCCGCAGCCGAGCCCAGAGCCGGGCUCGCGACCUAGGCCGGCAUACUCCCUCAGAGGUGAUGGGAAGAUUGUGUUUUGGAAAUGAAGUAUAAAUGAGAUUAAAAAAUUUAUGGAGAAGGGCCUGAGUUUCCGCCAGGUCUCCACUGGAACUUAGCUUGCUUGACGUCCUGAUAAGUUGGAAUUCAUCAUCAAUACAAACCCACAGCAACAUUUGCAAAGCUGUAAAAACGUCUUGAUCUGAACUGAACAGAAG
rnacentral:lncRNA from 1 species